AGAGUUUGAUCCUGGCUCAGGAUGAACGCUGGCGGUCUGCUUAACACAUGCAAGUCGAACGCACCUUUCGGGGUGAGUGGCGGACGGGUGAGUAACGCGUGAGAAUCUGCCUAGAGGUCGGGGACAACCAUUGGAAACGAUGGCUAAUACCAGAUAUGCCUUACGGGGUGAAAGAUUAAUCGCCUUUAGAAGAGCUCGCGUCUGAUUAGCUAGUUGGUAGGGUAAAAGCCUACCAAGGCAUCGAUCAGUAGCUGGUCUGAGAGGAUGACCAGCCACACUGGGACUGAGACACGGCCCAGACUCCUACGGGAGGCAGCAGUGGGGAAUUUUCCGCAAUGGGCGAAAGCCUGACGGAGCAAGAUCGCGUGAGGGAGGAAGGCUCUUGGGUUGUAAACCUCUUUUGUCAGGGAAGAACACAAUGACGGUACCUGACGAAUCAGCAUCGGCUAACUCCGUGCCAGCAGCCGCGGUAAUACGGAGGAUGCAAGCGUUAUCCGGAAUUAUUGGGCGUAAAGCGUCCGCAGGUGGCUAAUCAAGUCUGCGGUCAAAGACCGGGGCUUAACCCUGGAAAGGCCGUGGAAACUGAUAAAGCUAGAGUACCGUAGGGGUAGAGGGAAUUCCCGGUGUAGCGGUGAAAUGCGUAGAGAUCGGGAAGAACAUCGGUGGCGAAAGCGCUCUACUGGGCCACAACUGACACUCAGGGACGAAAGCUAGGGGAGCGAAUGGGAUUAGAUACCCCGGUAGUCC
rnacentral:rRNA from 1 species